rnacentral:tRNA from 1 species
CCCUGGGUGGCAUAAAUGGUUGGUUAAGUGCUUGGCUAUUAACCAAAAGGUUGGUGGUUCAAAUCCACCCAGAGGUC